GCAUAUCAAUAAGCGGAGGAAAAGAAACUAACAAGGAUUCCCCUAGUAAUGGCGAAUGAAGAGGGAAAAGCUCAAAUUUAAAAGCUGUUAUCUUUCAGGUAACCGCAUUGUAAUCUAAAGAAGUGUUUUCUGUUUUAGCCUACAUAUAAGUACUCUGGAAUGAGUUGGCAUAGAGGGUGAAACUCCCGUCUUUGAUGUAGAUUACUAAAGCUUUGUGAUACACUUUCUAAGAGUCGAGUUGUUUGGGAAUGCAGCUCAAAAUGGGUGGUAAAUUCCAUCUAAAGCUAAAUAUUGGCCUGAGACCGAUAGCGAACAAGUACCGUGAGGGAAAGAUGAAAAGCACUUUGGAAAGAGAGUCAAAUAGAACGUGAAAUUGCUGAAAGGGAAGCGUUUGAAGUUAGUCUGGUGAUAAUUGUUCAAUUGUUAUUUCGAUUUCAAUGUAUGCAAUUAUUAACCGGUCAACAUCAAUUUUGAUUGAUGGAUAAAGGUAAUGAGAAUGUAGCUAAUUUAGGUUAGUGUUAUAGCUCAUUAUCAUACACAUUGAUUGAGAUUGAGGAUGGCGGUGUACCUAUUUUUAAUAGGCAGAUUUAAGAAUCUAUUACACCAAGGAUGUUGACAAAAUAGCUUUAAGCGACCCGUCUUGAAACACGGACCAAGGAGUCUAACAUAUCUGCGAGUAUUUGAGUGACAAACUCGAAUGCGUAAUGAAAGUGAAUGUAGGUGUGAAGCGUUUAAGCUGCAACAUCGACCGAUCUUGAAUUUUUAUAAUGAUGGAUUUGAGUAAGAGCAUAUAUGUUGGGACCCGAAAGAUGGUGAACUAUGCCUGAAUAGGGUGAAGCCAGAGGAAACUCUGGUGGAGGCUCGUAGCGGUUCUGACGUGCAAAUCGAUCGUCAAAUUUGGGUAUAGGGGCGAAAGACUAAUCGAACCAUCUAGUAGCUGGUUCCUGCGGA
rnacentral:rRNA from 1 species